GUAGGUGAACCUGCGGAAGGAUCAUUACAAAUCUGUCAACCCGAGGACGAAGUCCGAGGGGACGUUUACCCGGGAGUGGUCGUUGGAUCAUUCCCUUGGUGUUGGUUGGUUUAGUAGUGGUUGGUCGGUUUUUACCAAUCACCACAAAUACCGCCAAUAUUCACGCUUGUCGAGUUUGACCGAGUUUAUUAAUACACAAGACAUAUAGACAACUUUUAACAAUGGAUCUCUUGGCUCUU
rnacentral:misc_RNA from 1 species